GCAGGUGUGGCGGAAUUGGCAGACGCGCAGGCCUCAAGAAGCUUGUGGGGCAACCCUUGGAGGUUCGAAUCCUCCCAUCUGCA
rnacentral:tRNA from 1 species